UUUCAGUGUGUUUUACAUACUUAGGACGAUGUUGCAUUAGGAUUGCAUGUGCAUGGCAUAUUUGGUUGUUUUCAGGUACUUUGGAUGCUUUUGGAGUUCAAACAGAGGAAAAACAGAACAUGAAGUCAGAAUGCCCAAUGACGCCUUCAGCAAAAGUACUCUAUCGCAGCCUCGGAGCCCUGCCAGGGCAAAUCAAUCUAUCGCAACCCCCGGAGAAGCAAACAGCUCAGUUUCACUCAAUCGCGAAGCAGGAGGAAUCACCCCAUCAGAACCACUCGAUCACCACUCUAUCACCAGGAAGCCUAUCUGCUCAUUCUGCACUCAACCAGACAAGCUGAGAACAAAGAAGAGAAGAGAAGCCGAAGAAACCACUCGAUCACACCCUCAUGACAUCCACUCGAUCGCACUCGAUCACAAGGUCGCUGGACCAUUCAAUCUCGACUUCACUGCAUUUCACUCGAUCGCAAGACGGAGGCCCUAAAGCCCAGUUUGAUCAAUGACAUAUUCGAUCACUAGGAAGCUCAUUUCUGCUCGUCAGAUGCCAAUGACAUAUUCGGUCGCAGGAUCAUGACGUGAAGAUUCGCUAUAUAUUUAGUUUCCUUAUUUGUUUUAUUUCUCGCUUAUAUAAACUGCCUCUUAGGGUUUUCCCUAGGGCGUGGGCUAUUAUCCGCUAUUAUCCGUUUUUAUCUCGCUUUUACAUUUUUGCAACUUUGAUAGCCGCAGUGUUUCUCCUGCGACUUUGUAGUUUCGUUUUCAAGUAUUUGAUAUUCAGUUUUCGUUUAAGUCUUUUAUCAUUUCUGUUAUCAUGUUUUCAAUUGUUGCUUUGUUAUUGUCUUUGAUUAUGUCUGAGUAGUGAACUGUAUUUCUGAGGAUGGGAUAGAAUAGUUGUGGUUUACUUGGUCGUUUUAGGUGGUUGAGUUUAGAAUACUAGAAUCCCUUCUGGAUUAGUUGCGCUUAUUGCUUAUUUCACUGGCUAAUGUGGAGUAUGAGUCCAGACGUCCAGCGCUCAGAAGGCGUUUAAUGGGCGUUGGAUCCUAGUAAUUCCAAAGAUAUCUGACUCUACCCAAAGGGAUUGACUAUAGAGAGGGUAUUGGCUUUAACAUGUUGAUUCGAUAAUGCUUGCUUAGUUACAGUUCGCUAAAGGGAUUUAGGUCAGUGUCUAGCUUUGCUUGAGGAUUUCUAUCACGGGAGUGAAUUAAUCUUUUGUUGAACUUGUUGUCUAGGGAUAGCUUCUGUGAAGUUUUGUCAACCGCCUGAAUAGAUUAAGUAGACCACACUAUUCGAUUACCCCAUCCUUAGGAAUCGUUUAUCCAUUUGAUUGCCUGUUAUCAUUUCUGCUUUGUCAUUCACUUGCCUGCUAUUGCCAUUCCUGCUUUUAGUUUCAUUUCAUUUCUGUUAUUGCAUACUAGGACUGUUAGAACCAACCAACUAUCUGCUUGGCUUGACUUAGAGCUUUCUGAUCAUAUCUCAUCUGUUUGCAUCACACCGGAUUGGAUUGACAUCCUAAAAUACUACAACGACAAGAUAGUGUUUUAGAGAUUAAUUGACAAAAAUCCUACUAUCAUAACUCCAUAAUCCCAGCUGAUUUCGUGGUCCUGGACUAUGAGAAGGAACCCAAGGAUCCCCUUAUCCUUGGAUGAGCAUUCCUAACUACAGCUGGUGCUAGGUUUGAUGUGAAGAGAGGGAGA
rnacentral:sRNA from 1 species